rnacentral:rRNA from 1 species
CAGUCAUGCAGGCAAAACCGCAUGAAAAAUGUAAAGCGUUAUGUGGAUCGAACAUUAGUAGAGAAGCGUGUGAGCCAGCUGCCAAGAAAAGCCGCUAUUGCUUCAUAAGUACCCGUACCGUAAACCGACACAGGUGGAUGAGGAGAGAAUCCUAAGGCCGGCGGGAGAAGUGUUGUUAAGGAACUCGGCAAAAUGACUCCGUAACUUCGGGAGAAGGAGUGCCACAGAGAUGUGGCCGCAGAGAAAUGGCCCAAGCAACUGUUUAGCAAAAACACAGGUCUAUGCAAAACCGAAAGGUGAGGUAUAUGGGCUGACGCCUGCCCGGUGCUGGAAGGUUAAGAGGAGAGGUUAGAGCAAUCGAAGCUUUGAAUUUAAGCCCCAGUAAACGGCGGCCGUAACGAUAACGGUCCUAAGGUAGCGAAAUUCCUUGUCGGGUAAGUUCCGACCCGCACGAAAGGCGUAAUGAUUUGGGCACUGUCUCAACAACACACCCGGUGAAAUUGAAAUACCAGUGAAGAUGCUGGUUACCUGCGCCAGGACGGAAAGACCCCAUGGAGCUUUACUCCAGUUUGAUACUGGGAUUCGGUACUGUCUGUACAGGAUAGGUGGGAGGCUAGGAAAUGGUGACGCCAGUUGCCAUGGAGCCAACCUUGGGAUACCACCCUUACAGUACUGGGUUUCUAACCUGCAGCCGUGACCCGGCUGGGGGACAAUGUCUGACGGGGAGUUUUGACUGGGGCGGUCGCCUCCGAAAGAGUAUCGGAGGCGCUCAAAGGUUCCCUCAGAACGGUUGGAAACCGUUCGAAGAGUGCAAAGGCAGAAGGGAGCUUGACUGCGACACCGACGGGUGGAGCAGAUACGAAAGUAGGACUUAGUGAUCCGGUGGUAUAAAGUGGGAUUGCCAUCGCUCAACGGAUAAAAGCUACCCUGGGAUAACAGGCUUAUCACUCCCAAGAGUUCACAUCGACGGAGUGGUUUGGCACCUCGAUGUCGGCUCAUCGCAUCCUGGAGCUGUAGCAGGUUCCAAGGGUUGGGCUGUUCGCCCAUUAAAGCGGUACGCGAGCUGGGUUCAGAACGUCGUGAGACAGUUCGGUCCCUAUCCGGCGUGGGCGUAGGAUGUUUGAGAGGAGCUGUCCUUAGUACGAGAGGACCGGGAUGGACAAACCUCUGGUGUAUCUGUUGUUUUACCAAAGGCAUGGCAGAGUAGCCAAGUUUGGCAGGGAUAAACGCUGAAGGCAUCUAAUCGUGAAGCCCCCCUCAAGAUAAGAUAUCCCAUCUUCGGAGUAAGACCCCUUGAAGACUACAAGGUUGAUAGGCUUCAGGUGUAAGUGUGGUAACGCACUCAGCUGAGAAGUACUAAUAGGUCGAGGACUUAUC